CAGAGGGAGGGUACAUUGAUACAUGCAUGUAGAGGGUGAAGGGUAUUGCAGUGUGAGCAAGCAAUUUUAAGCAAUGAGCCCCUCGAGUCCGUAGGUUACACUGAUUUUAGAACAGCUAAGGGGGGUUUUACAGCUUUUCUAAAAUCAGUGUAACCUACAGCCUUAAAUAUAGCCCCACACUCACUAAGAAGUUCAGUGAACUUUGGGAAACUUCUCUAUCUAUAAGCUAUAUCUAUUCUCUAUCUAUCUAUAAGCGCAUUGUUUCCUAACGUAUCAAGGCGACCUGUGGGCUGCAGCUUGAAUUUGUCAGGACAGAAGCCAGUCACCUUCCCUACCUGUAUGCAGCGUGGAGCAAAUGACAACAGCAUUGUCAAAGACUCUUCUGUUGCAAUGCAAUGUAAGGAGUGUCCGUUUUCUCACCCGGAUGUAGAGACCCUCCUGACCCAUUACAGGCUUCAUCACGGUCACCAGGGAAAAAGCUGGCUCUGCCUUCACCCCAAGUGCAUGUGCAUCUUUAAGACUUAAGGAUGCAGAUGCUGAGGAGGACUAGAGGCAUGAAAAUUGGAAUCUUGACUGUCAUUGAAGACGACCUCGCCAUGAAAGCACCGGACACUGUCACCAAUAUCGCCAUCGUCCUGGAAGAGACUGUUGUUCUACAGGACAUCAAGGAUCUGCCAUCUGCACUGGCCUACCUAUGCGGACUCCUGCAUGACAUGGGGUGCCAAUACUUAUGACCCCUGUAUUUUAAGGAAAAACAUUUAUUUAUUUAUGAUACAUUAUUCUUGUUGGAUUAAAUGUUGGAUAUUUCCCUCAUUUUUUAACUUAAGGCAUUAAGAUCAAUUUCUAAAAGAUGAUUUAAUAUUCCUCUUUUUAGUCAGCAGUAGCAGAGGUGCCAAUAAUUCUGGAGGGUACUGUAGGUCAGGGGUGUUCAA